rnacentral:rRNA from 1 species
AUUGAACGCUGGCGGCAGGCCUAACACAUGCAAGUCGAACGAGUGGCGGACGGGUGAGUAAUGUCUGGGAAACUGCCUGAUGGAGGGGGAUAACUACUGGAAACGGUAGCUAAUACCGCAUACCAUCAGAUGUGCCCAGAUGGGAUUAUCUAGUUGGUGGGGUAACGGCUCACCAGGGCGACGAUCCCUAGCUGGACUGAGAGGAUGACCAGGCACACUAGAACUGAGGAACGGACCAGACGACUAAGGGAGGCAGCAGUGGGGAAUAUUGCACAAUGGGCGAAAGCCUGAUGCAGCCAUGCCGCGUGUAUGAAGAGGGCCUUCGGGUUGUAAAGUACUUUCAGCGGGGAGGCGUUACCCGCAGAAGAGGCGCCGGCUAACUCCGUGCCAGCAGCCGCGGUGAUAC